rnacentral:rRNA from 1 species
GACGCAGGGCGCGAGCGUUGUCCGGAUUUAUUGGGCGUAAAGAGCUCGUAGGCGGCUUGUCGCGUCGUCCGUGAAAACCUGCAGCUCAACUGCAGACUUGCGGUCGAUACUGUCGUGACUCGAGUCCGGUAGGGGAGUGUGGAAUUCCCGGUGUAGCAGUGAAAUGCGUAGAUAUCGGGAGGAAUACCGAUGGCGAAGGCAGGUCUCUGGGCUGACACUGACGCUCAUGCACGAAAGCGUGGGGAGCAAACAGG